rnacentral:rRNA from 2 species
UGUUUGAUGUUCUAACGUGGACCCGUGAUCCGGGUUGCGGACAGUGUCUGGUGGGUAGUUUGACUGGGGCGGUCUCCUCCUAAAGAGUAACGGAGGAGCACGAAGGUUGGCUAAUCCUGGUCGGACAUCAGGAGGUUAGUGCAAUGGCAUAAGCCAGCUUGACUGCGAGCGUGACGGCGCGAGCAGGUGCGAAAGCAGGUCAUAGUGAUCCGGUGGUUCUGAAUGGAAGGGCCAUCGCUCAACGGAUAAAAGGUACUCCGGGGAUAACAGGCUGAUACCGCCCAAGAGUUCAUAUCGACGGCGGUGUUUGGCACCUCGAUGUCGGCUCAUCACAUCCUGGGGCUGAAGUAGGUCCCAAGGGUAUGGCUGUUCGCCAUUUAAAGUGGUACGCGAGCUGGGUUUAGAACGUCGUGAGACAGUUCGGUCCCUAUCUGCCGUGGGCGCUGGAGAACUGAGGGGGGCUGCUCCUAGUACGAGAGGACCGGAGUGGACGCAUCACUGGUGUUCGGGUUGUCAUGCCAAUGGCACUGCCCGGUAGCUAAAUGCGGAAGAGAUAAGUGCUGAAAGCAUCUAAGCACGAAACUUGCCCCGAGAUGAGUUCUCCCUGAGACUUAAAGUCUCCUGAAGGAACGUUGAAGACGACGACGUUGAUAGGCCGGGUGUGUAAGCGCAGCGAUGCGUUGAGCUAACCGGUACUAAUGAACCGUGAGGCUUAACCUU